CUUCAGAUAGGUUGGUUCACCUGUGACAGCUGGCUGAACACAGCUGUAUGCAAGUUCCUUGCUUGUAUUCAUAGCUCUUACAGUACCUAAAUCUCAGAAAGAUAUUGCUGCUAGUGAUGAGGUGAGCACUCAAGGUGUAUGCCACUGUCCUUAUCUGCUGAUCACGGAUGGUUAAAAAUAGGCUUUGUAUCCCGAUGCAGACUACAUACGAAGACUGCCGCAGGUCACUAUGGGGCCAAUAUUGAUCAAUGCUAUGUAAUGGCCAGGUCUGAUAUCUUGCCAUGGCUGAAUAUCACUCAGGAUAAUUCCAUGAGGUUUGGCAUUCUCCUAAGAGAAGUGAACUUCCCUCUGAUCUGAAAGCUAGUGUCAGUCCUGAGGUCAACCAUCUCUCAGACUGGCACUAUUUGGGCUUCUAUCCCUCAGCCAUGCAUCUCUUUAGCAUAAUACACCACUUUGGGAUUUGCAACUCUUUCAGAAGACUUGUAUCUCAUCCACAGUAUAUGGCAGUCUGAUUCUUAAUCCUGAACCUGCAGGGACUGGGCAGUCAAGUGGUGAAUUAUAAAGCAUUCACCGGUAAGAGUAUAUCCAAUACUGCACAACCUCUCUAUAGAAAGUCAAAUGAGGUCCAAAAACAGAACUGAUUUCAUCUCAACACUUCAUACUUGGGUGCAAGUUAUCAAAGCUUGAUCCAAAAUGUGCCGUAGGGACACCAGCAUAUGUCAGCUCACAUUCCAGGCAUAUGUAGGAAUGUUUUAGUAAAAUGCCAUUCCACUGAGAACCUCUUAGUGUACUCAGAUACUAUGAAUGUAUUGGUCUGUUUCUAAAACAAAUACAGACAGUCACAACACAUCUGUUGGCACAAGCUCCCUUGCUGCGUCAAAGGGAUGGAAACACCAAUCAUUUGUUUAUUACAUUUUCCAUUAAAAAGAAAAUAUGAGUCAUAGACUAUAUGGCAUAUUUUUCUAAUUAUAUGUGAUAGCACUUUUUCUUUUGUGUGCUCAAAUAGAAAUUUAUAGUCUGAAGGGAAGUUGGCACUAUUGAAAUUGAUGGAUAUAAUUUAUUAUAAUCAAGGAUCAGGUAAAUAUCUAUGGAAACUGAUACAUGAAUAUGAGUUUUUAUAAGCAUUUCUGAUGAGUCUACUGUAUAUGGAUAAUUUUCAUCUUUGAUAAUCAUCAGUUAGCCAGUUUAUUUUUUAAUCCUUUCACUGCCAUUGCUAGAAUGGAUGGGAAGGGGUAAUUAAUGGCAUCAGGCAUCUGAUGUUUAUAAACAGCAAUGGUUUGGAACAGUUUGUUGCAAUUUUUAUAAAUUAUUUUGCACUAAUCUAAAAAGCCUUUUUGAAAUGUAAUUAUUUCAUAUUUUAA
rnacentral:lncRNA from 1 species